AUACGUAGGGUGCAAGCGUUAUUCGGAAUUACUGGGCGUAAAGCGUGCGCAGGCGGUUUUGUAAGACAGAGGUGAAAUCCCCGGGCUCAACCUGGGAACUGCCUUUGUGACUGCAAGGCUAGAGUACGGCAGAGGGGGAUGGAAUUCCGCGUGUAGCAGUGAAAUGCGUAGAUAUGCGGAGGAACACCGAUGGCGAAGGCAAUCCCCUGGGCCUGUACGGACGCUCAUGCACGAAAGCGUGGGGAGCAAACAGGAUUAGAUACCCUGGUAGUCCACGCCCAAAACGAUGUCAACUGGUUGUUGGGUCUUCAUUGACUCAGUAACGAAGCUAACGCGUGAAGUUGACCGCCUGGGGAGUACGGCCGCAAGGUUGAAACUCAAAUGAAUUGGCGGGG
rnacentral:rRNA from 1 species